rnacentral:rRNA from 1 species
UACAGAGGGUGCGAGCGUUAAUCGGAAUUACUGGGCGUAAAGCGUGCGCAGACGGUUUCGUAAGUCGGGUGUGAAAGCCCCGGGCUCAACCUGGGAAUUGCAUUCGAAACUGCGAGGCUAGGGUACGGAAGAGGGAAGCGGAAUUUCUGGUGUAGCGGUGAAAUGCGUAGAUAUCAGAAGGAACAUCAGUGGCGAAAGCGGCUUCCUGGUCCAGUACCGACGUUCAGGCACGAAAGCGUGGGGAGCAAACAGG